rfam:Medicago truncatula strain A17 chromosome 4, whole genome shotgun sequence.
AAACAGCCCCCUAUGUUUUGAUUCUUUGGCAGUUUUGGACCCCCAAGACAAAAAAAACAAAAAAUUGACACGUGGCACCUCACUUAGGGUGCCACGUCAGCGUUGACCGAGUCAACAAUGGUCUGGGGGUCCAAAACUGCCAAAGAAUCAAAACAAAGGGGGCUGUUU